rnacentral:rRNA from 1 species
UACGUAGGGGGCAAGCGUUGUCCGGAAUCAUUGGGCGUAAAGAGCGUGUAGGCGGCUCGAUAAGUCUGCUGUGAAAGUCCAGGGCUCAACCCUGGAAGGCCGGUGGAAACUGUCGGGCUAGAGUCCGGAAGAGGCGAGUGGAAUUCCCGGUGUAGCGGUGAAAUGCGCAGAUAUCGGGAGGAACACCAAUGGCGAAGGCAGCUCGCUGGGACGGUACUGACGCUGAGGGACGAAAGCUAGGGGAGCGAAUGGG